UAAAAUAAAAACCCUUUUUGGGAUUUUUCAUUUAAUAAUAUUUUUUUUUGGUUUUUCAAAUACAAAACAAGAAAUAUGAUGACUCGAGACUCGUCAAACUCAACUAUACUACGACAAAUUAUUACAUCAAGUAAAAAAUUAAAUGUUAUUAAGCAAGACUAGAAAACAAAAAAUAAUAUAAAACAGACUCAAAAUAAAAAGUCUCUUCAAACAGCUCCCAAAUAUGAUAGUCAUGCUCGAGUCCUGGUAAAUGACCACACCUGAAUGAUAAAAAUAAUACUGAACAGAUCAAUGACUCAAGACACUUUGUGACACCACAACACUUCCUAUUGGACAUAUGCAAGACACGAUUGAGCUAUUUUUGAAAAUUAACCUAUAUGGUCAAGAAUGGCUAUUAAUGCAAACUCAAAAAAAUUGACCUCAUGGACAUGAAAAAUGACUAACUAAGACUUUUAUGGAUUCAAACUCCCAAUAUCAUGGCCCAAAAAUUAAUUUGCAGAAAUAACUCAUUUUGCAAAAAUAACCUAUGUGGCCGAAAUUUGGUCAUUUUUCAUGUCCAUGAGGUCAAUUUGAUUUGUAAAAAUAACCCAUUUCGCAAAAAACGACCUAUAUGGCUAGAAGUGGCUAAAGAUGCAGACUCAAAAAGGCAGUCCCUUAAGUAACAUGAUACCUAGUUAUGAAAUCAAGAUCCUAAGACACGGGUUAUUGAACCACUUUUGCAAAAAUGACCCCAUUUUGCAACAAUGACCGAUAUGGCCACAAGCGGCUAGACAUGCAAGAUUUGGCUAAGACCCCGCAAGGCCAAGAACCUAAAACACUACGAAGAUCGGACCCUAUGUGGGUUGCCUACGUAUCUCGCCCCGGGCUCGCGUAGUUCGGGAAGAUGCAAUUAAUUUGAAAAAAUUAUAUUUUUGUCUUUUUUGGAAAAUGAUGAAAAAUAUAAACUCUUUUUGGAUUUUCUUUUUCUCCUUUUUCUUUUAAAUUUUUGAAAAAUGAUAGAAAAUGUAAUAUCUUUUUGGAUUUUCUAUUUUUGAAAAAUAAUGGAAAAAUGUAAAAACUUUUUGGGAUUUUCUGUUUUUUCCUUUUUUUUGAUUUUUUUUUGAAAAAUAAUGGGAAAGUGCAAAAUCUUUUGAAUUUUUCUUCAUUUUCGUUUUUUGAAUUUUCGAAAAAAUAAAAAGUGUAAAAUCUUUUUGGUUUUUUUUAUUUUUAUUUUUUUGUGAAUUUAUGGGAAAAAGAUGGCAAAGUGUAAAUUUGUUUUGUAUUUAAUUUUUAUUUUUUGAAUUUUCGAAAAAUGAUGGAAAAUUGUUAAAUAUUUUUUGAUUUUCUAUUUUUAAUUUUUUUUGCUUUUUGAAAGACUGAGAGAAAAAUGCGAGUGGGCCCUGCUUGCUUCAUUUCACCCUUAUUUCCAAAUAUCGGUCUGCCAAAUGACCUUUUUGCCUUCAAAUAUGCAAUAUGUAUCACACAGGGAUGAUUGAAUGUCUUUUUGGGCCACGAGCUCAUUUUGACGAAAUUUGGACAGGCUCCCUACAAAGGGACACGGUACCCGGGACCGAGCCCUACUAGGUGUAAAUGACAUGAUGCAAAUAAAAAUGUCCUAAAGGCUGACCUAAGUUUGGCGUUCACUAACAAGGCAAUUCGGGGGAGUGUAUGGUCGAUGGUGGUUGCUCAAGCUUUCCACCCACUCCAUACGUCCGACGCCCCCCUCCUAAAUAAAGGAUGACUCAACAAAGAGUUCGUGCACGCGACGCGUGCUCCGAGGCUUGUUACAGAAAGAAACUCGGGGUUAUGCAAAUGAUGACAGCUAUAAAGCAGUAAACACAUAAAGUAAAACUACAUAAACAAAUAAGCAACUAGCAAAUAAAAUGACAUAAACAAAAAUAAAAAUCAAAUAAAGCAAACAAAACACAUAAAAACCUCAACCGAAAAUCCUAAAAGCCAACAAGAUCAAGUACUAGCUCGAACCUGCAAGUCCCCAGCAGAGUGCCAGAGAUGUCACACUCUCUUUUUUACACAAACUCUCACUUAACCCUCUUAAAUAAAAUAAAAGAAUUUUGGUAAAAGCUUGAAGGGUUUUUUCAAUUGAAAAGUGACAAAAAUUUGUUUUAAAAUGAAAAUAACUCAGAGUCGCCACCUGACAUUUGAUUUUGGUGGUCCAGGUCAUCGUUUUUAAAAUGAUUUUUCCUUUCAAAAUGUUUUAGACUCUAAAACCAAGUCCGCACCAGAGAUUCAGAUAAGGGGUUCAUUUGACUCAGGGAGAAGGUGUUAGGCACUCCCCAAGUCCCGUGAAGGUCACGGUUGCGUACUCGAUCUAGUUGGCUUUUAGAAUAUUCGAUUGAGGUAAAAUAAACACAGAAAAAAACACGCAAGAGGUCCGAGGUCGCUCCCACCUAAUAAAAGGAAAAUAAACUAAAGCUAAAAAUACUAUGAGUUUCACUUUAGGCCUCCAACUACAAGUAAUUCGGGGCAUUCCCCGAAAUAAAAUAUAUAUAAGUCCUUCGGGCAUUUUCCGGAUGAAUUCAACUAAAGGAGGACCUCUCGCCUCGAAACCACAAACAAAUAAAUAUUUUAAAAUUGCCUACCCAAGUGUUGUCGGCCUAAAAUAUACCACUAGCGAAUAAUAACAAUACAAACCAAAAUGAAGUAACAAACAAAAACAAUAAAGCAACAUAAAAAUAAAUACAAUAUUUUAUACCCCAAACCCAACUCACGUGUGAACUUUAUCAAACAAGGUUAAUUUCAUAUUCAAAUUCUUCUAAAAUUAUCAAACCCCAACCAACCAGUAUAUGUUUUACUACCCAACCCACUAAAAAAUCUAUUAAUUUAAUUCUCCUAUUAUUAAAUUAUAAUCCUAGACCAUUCAAACCUCAAUGCAUAACCGAGCUAAAAUUCCGAUCUAGCUAUCAAAAUUCAUACGACAAAAUAGAGCUAAACAACACAAAAGGUAAUCAAGAACACAAACAUUCUCUAAUUAAAAGAUGAGAAAAAAAAACAAGAGGGGGUAACAUUCAGACCUUUCAUUGGAGAACAAAGUCGAAAAUGGCAACUCGACGGGCUAAACAGAGCAAGGCCACCGGACUGAAAAAACUGAAGCUAUGAAUUAGAACUUCGGCAUAAAAGCCUCGCCGGAAGCUUCGAACGGUCACUGAAAAAACUGAAGCUAUAAAUUAGAACUUCGGCAUAGAAGCCUCGCCGGAAGCUUCGAACGGAUCUCACGCGACUCAGCCUCAAUCGGACUCCAUUGUUGAAACCAAAAUCGAAGAGAAGCAGAACUGAAAUCUUUUUUUACUGAUUUUUAAAAAUGAAAAAUAAAACUUUAAUCAAGAACUAAUUUCAAAUUGUUUUCAUUCUUUCGUCCCCCAAAUUCUAUCUCGUUCCCUCUCCUUUCUCCUAUUCCCGUCCCUAUUUCUGCUCUGUGUGUCUUGCACGUUUUUGUGCUGCUGGUGGUUAAGGGUGGUCGUUUGAGUGAAGAAGAAGGUGAAGAUGGGUGGAGAAGAAGCAGGGUUUUGCGUCUCUGUGUGUGGUCUCCGGUUUCAGGCAUUCAUGUUGGUCGUUUAGGGUGGUAUUGACUGUGAGGGUGCAAGGUCGGUUCUUCUACUUGGCCACUGUAGGCAGUUAUGGUGGUUGUUUAGGGUGGUAUUGACCGUGAGGGUGCAAGGUCGGUACUUCCGUUUGGCCGCUGCUCUUCUCCGGUCGGUUCCAAGGUCUAGGGUUUAGCUUUGUGUUUUGUUGUUGUUGAAGGUUGAAGAAGAUAGGCAGCCAUGGAUGGUCUUCUAGGUUUUAGUAUAUCCUCCCCUUUAAGAAGUUCUUCUUUUGAAAAAGGAAGUGGGAUAAAAUUAGGUCUUUGGUGGUGAG
rnacentral:lncRNA from 1 species